CCUGAUGCUAGCAAUUAUGAAGGGAAAUGGAUAUUCUCACAAGAGGAAGUGUAAGGUAUCUGGAGAGUAUCUGAGAGUCUGUGACAAAAGCUAGAAAACCAUGCAUGCUCAGUGCCCAGGCUGUGCCACCCUAGAAAACAGAUAUGGAUAUACAUAUAUUUCUACCAAUACAUAUUUACAUAUUUUCACAAAACUUAAGAGAUGCUCAUACUAGCACAACUGAAAACAGUUAAAACGCUGUUUACAACUUAAGAAACCGGCUCAAUGUCUUAUAGCAUACGCACAAUAGGAUAAAGUACUGCAACUGUUCA
rnacentral:lncRNA from 1 species